CUUCAAUUCUUCAAAAGAGGAGGCAAUGGAGCGAGCGGGCCUUGUGCCGAACGCGCUCUCUCACUCUCUCUCAGGUUUGGGGUAGCGGUCCGGCAUUUUAUCAUCACAAUCGUCGUCAUCGUGUUCUUCUUCUUCUCCAAACUGCGUUAAGUACUAAGAGUAUCCGGCUCUAUAUCCGAGGGCGUGAGCCUAUUCCGGAAGAUCAGGCCAAAGGGUGUG